rnacentral:rRNA from 1 species
GUAGGUGGCAAGCGUUGUCCGGGAAUUAUUGGGGCGUAAAGCGCGCGCAGGCGGUUCUUUAAGUCUGAUGUGAAAGCCCACGGGCUCAACCGUGGAGGGUCAUUGGAAACUGGAGAACUUGAGUACAGAAGAGGAAAGCGGAAUUCCACGUGUAGCGGUGAAAUGCGUAGAGAUGUGGAGGAACACCAGUGGCGAAGGCGGCUUUCUGGUCUGUAACUGACGCUGAGGCGCGAAAGCGUGGGGAGCAAACAGGAUUAGAUACCCUGGUAGUCCACGCCGUAAACGAUGAGUGCUAAGUGUUAGGGGGUUUCCGCCCCUUAGUGCUGCAGCUAACGCAUUAAGCACUCCGCCUGGGGAGUAUGGCCGCAAAGGCUG